rnacentral:rRNA from 1 species
GACAGGAGGGGCGAGCGUUGAGCGUUUGUACUGGGCCUAAAGCGCGGGUAUGUGGGUAUGAAAACCAACUUUGUUCUAGAAUCUUCGUAGACGCUAGAAUGUACAAGAAAGGCCCUCCGAGGAUGGAGGCGUUUCUAGAGAGAAAUUCAUACCUGGGGUCCAUGGAAGGUUGACAGAAUGGCCCAAGGACCGGUAGAAUGGGAAGAUAUGGGUUGGAAUCUCGACAGCGAAGGCAGUCAUCUGACAUGGUACCGACACCCAGCCGCGGAAGCGUGGGGAUUCAAUGGG